rnacentral:lncRNA from 1 species
AGGAAGUACGGAUGGAAAUCGGCCAAAAGGUGCUACAGUACGGAAUCGGUCAGUAGCUUUUACUCCGCUUCCGGGUGAAUGCGCCAGGUUCCCAAUCGGCAAUCCUUUGCUGAUAAGAGAUCGGCCGAUCGGGAAGGUGGACUAAGGUGGGCCUGUAUGGGCUUGGAAAAAUGGAGGGAUAAGGUUCAGCCCACGAAGCGUGGGGUAGUUGGUUUAGCACGGAUUGUGCUGGUAGAUGUUUGUUUUCUGUUUGAAUUAGAGAUAGAGUUCUAGUCGGUUAAGAAGAUUAUGUGUACGGGGCUAUAAAUAGCUACCUUUGUAAAUCUGUAAACAACAAUCAAUCAAUACAACAAGUUACUUUAUUCUUCGUACUUACUGUCAAGCAGGCGACUUCGCCAUUACUUUUCCUUCUCACGAGUUCGUGCGGGUUGGCAGGGCUGCAUCAUCUUGAUCUCCGGCCGAUUCUGUAAGUUCCGUUUAUCGAGUAAUAUCUAAGCUUUAACUUCCGGCGCAUCGCUGUUGUUUCGUUUAGAUUUAUUCAUCAGUUAUCGAUAUUGACUAGAUUCAUAGGUUUUUACCUGUUUUCCUAGUUUUUAUCACCAAUUAUCCUGCUAGGAAUCGGUAGUAUCGGCUUUCAUUGCUUUCUGUUGUUAGAUCCAUUCGUUGCCGAUUAGAUCUUUUCCUAGUACUGUUAUCAUAAGCUUUGUACCGAUUACUUUAGUACUUUUCUGUCUACAAGGCUACAGGGAUCGUGCUAUUUACUAGCCGAUUUCAUUAUCACAGUAAAUCGGCCGAUUCGCCGAUAAACUCUCUCGAUCGGAAACUUAGCCAAUCGUGGUUACUGAAUUUGACACGUGUUCUUCCUUGCCAAUCAACAGGUCAGAUUGGCUGGCACGCCGCGCGAAUCGCACCAGGGCAUUCACCCGAACAGGAGCUAAGCAGAUUCUCCCGGGUCGUGUGUCGGUCGCUGGGAUUCGGUUGACCGAUUUCUAGCGCCAACACACUUUUGGCACGCCCAGUGGGACCAUUACAACCGCUGUCAUGUCGAAAGCUGCUGAAGUCUCCGAAGAUAACGUCAUCGAAGUGACGGAAGCAGAUCUAAAGGACGACCAAAAAGAAGAUCUGAAUCAGUAUUUGGAGCAAGUCCGGAAAACUUGCUUGAAAUCCUUCAGUCGUUCCAGGAGCGGGGAAACUGUUAAAAAGUCUCCUUUCCCUACUCCCCGCCAGAUCACGAUUUCAGAAGAUUCGGACAAAAUGUCCGAUAUGAUUCAGCAAUCUCUUCAUCACGCCUUCAUCAACCAAUCCCCGGUACUUUCAAACAUGGUGCACAAUGCUGUUGUCAACUCCUUCGCCGGAGGUAUACCACAGGGGUACAGGGGGCCUACGUAUUUUCAGCCGAUUCCACCAAAUCAGGCUUAUCAGGCUUCACACCCGAUCCAAUCCUCUGUCGGAGGAUCUGGUGCUUCUACGUCAUCAACUCCUUUGGGAUACGGCUCCAUCCAGCCGUCCACUGCACCACUCCCUCCAGUCAUCCCUUUGCCCUGGGGGGCACCCUUAAACACGACCGGUUUGAAUCAAUCGGUCAGCCAAGGAAAUCCUCCGUUCCAGACACCCUCCCAAACGGCCACUCGGCCGAUCAUACCACCAUACCAGCCUAUCGCUCCGGAGGUCAACAAGACGUCAGAGCUCAUGCUAUAUGAUGAAACAAGUGGUUCAUACAAGCAGCCGUCCUUUACUACACCGCCGGCUUAUACUCAGAUACCACCUUUUCAUCGACCUCCUUUUAUUCAACCUCCGAUUUAUCAACAUGUGCCGAUUCCGCCGCCAAGUAUUCCCCAACAACAACCGGAUUGGACGGCGCAAAUCGCGGAGGUAAUGCAAGAACAAUUCGGACUGAAGCCGAAGGUGCAAACUUAUACCUACAGGACACCAUACCCAUCUACGUAUGACUUGUUGCCGUUUCCCCACCGGUACAAAGUCCCGGAUUUCACUAAAUUUUCCGGAAUGGAUGAUACUUCUACCGUGGAACAUGUGAAUAGAUUCAUCAUCCAAUGCGGAGAAGCAGCUACGCAAGAUGCCCUGCGGGUACGGUUGUUCUCGUCAUCUUUGUCUGGAUCGGCUUUCCAAUGGUUCACCACUUUGCCACCAAACUCGAUUAUCACAUGGGCCGAUCUAGAGAGGUAGUUCCACAAGUACUUCUAUGCUGGAGUCCACGAAAUGAAGUUGUCUGAUUUAACUAGCCUCCGGCAACGAAGUGAUGAGCCGAUACCCUCGUACAUACAGAGGUUUCGGGAAAUCAGAAACAAAUGCUACUCCUUGGCUCUAACCGAUGCGCAGUUGGCCGAUAUAGCUUUCCAAGGCCUGCUGCCACACAUUAAGGAGAAAUAUGCUUCACAGGAGUUCGAGAGCCUGAGCCAGAUUGUCCACCGAUUGUCCGGACAGGAGGUGCGUCCAUUCGAUCCAAGAAGGAAUUUCCAGAAGAAAGUGGCGUUCCUGGAAGAAUUAGAGGACGAGGAAGACGCCGACAUCGGACUUGCAGAGUGGAUUAAAGGAAAGAAGCCGAUAUCAUGCCCGUUCGGCAAAAAGGAGCCGGAAGCAUUUGGUUUCAAUACAACUAAAGCUGACAAAAUCUUCGAUCUUCUACUCCAGGAAGGACAAAUUAAACUCUCGCCUUACCACACGAUACCCUCUGCCGAACAAUUGAAGAAGAUGAAGUAUUGCAAGUGGCAUAACGCCACAUCACAUGAUACCAACGAAUGCAAAAUCUUCAGGCAACAAAUACAGUCGGCCAUUGAGCAAGGCAGACUCAAAUUUGAAGUGCCGGCAAAACCGGCUAAACCUAUGAAGAUUGAUCAACACCCUUUUCCUACCAACAUGGUGGAUACGGGUAAGAAUCCCCUCCAAGCAAAAGUGCUGACGUCCGAAUCGGCAAAAAGGAGCGGCUCUGUCGAUCCCAGAAAUCAAGUUACGCCCGAAGACGUCAAAGGGAAACGGCGAAUGGAGGACGACGAUGGUGAGUCUGAUAGACCACGUAUUACUUCCCAGUUCCUGCUCCAAAAGUACCAACGCCAACAUGAACGAUCGAGGUCCCGAGAGGAAGCAAUGCGUCGGCACGAAGAACACUGGAGAUGCCCAUUCUUCAUCCAUUGUUGGGAAAAUAACCUCAGGCUUCCAUCAGCCGAUACUUGCCCAGAGUGCAACGGUCCCUAUUGAAGCAAUCGGCCGUUCACAAGGUCUCGCUCCAGAGACGGAAGGCCAGAACCGAUCAGCAGGAAUCGGCGCAACCCAGAUGAUCAGCGCCCUUCCAUGCGUGAUCGGCUGGGGGGCAGAAGUGACCGAUAUAAUCGGUCAGAAGAUAGAAGCCAUAAUAGGCAGGGGGGCAGGACCGAUCGACAUGAUCAAUCAAGUAGCAAAGCCAGCGUUCACAGUCGGCUCCAAGACAUGGCCGAUGCUCGGGUAACAGACGAGAACCCGUUAGGACGCGAGCCAGAAUGGGAACGCGCCAGGAAAGAAGGGAGGCCAAUAAACCCCAGAUGGUGUCCCGAUGGUUUGACCAAAUCACAAAAACGAAGAGUCCAACGCCUCCGCCAAUGGGAACAGCAAGAAGAAGAAAGCGCGAUGGACAAGAAGGAAGGGAGGACUCAGGUAUGGCGCCCCAAAGGAAACGACAAGGGCAACGAUGAAUCGGCGGAUGAUGAAUCGGCAGCCGAAAUCGGUAUGGUUUUCAUAUUGCCGAUUGAGUUUAUGACCCCUGCCGAUCAACAGAACGUGUCGGCAAUAGAGGAACAAACAGCACGGUUGGCGUUAGAACCAAUGAUGGCCACGUUCGAAAAGCCCGAAGACGAUGAACGACAACAUAUGAAGGCGUUGUUUCUUAAAGGGCAUGUUGACGGUCGCCCCCUCACUAAAUUGAUGGUCGACGGGGGAGCUGCCGUCAACAUCAUGCCGUAUGCCGUACUCUGAAAGCUGGGAAAGAGCGAUGAAGACCUAACCAGGACGGACAUGAUGCUCAAGGACUUCGAAGGCAAGGUGUCAAACGCUCGCGGUGCCCUCUGCGUCGACCUCACCAUCGGCAGUAAGACCCUUCCCACCACGUUUUUCGUCAUUAAUGGCAAAGGGUCCUAUAAUAUGCUUCUUGGCCGAGACUGGAUACACGCAAACUGCUGCAUCCCGUCAACUAUGCAUCAAUGCCUAGUACAAUGGGUCGGCGAUAACAUCGAGGUGGUCAAAGCCGACUCCGCGUACAGCAUCGCAGCAGCCGACGCACAGCAAUGGAGCUGCGAAACAGUCAGGUGCAUAUCAGGUAGGGUGUGGGAAACCGAUUUCCUAAAGGUCACCGAUUUUGGCCUGCAGCCGAUCCGAGCAGUCGGCUCCGAAGAAGCGCAAUAAAUGGAUCAGUUCGCCCGAGAAGACGGGAAGCUGGGACACGGAUUCACGUCGGCUGAUUCAUUAGAGAUGGUAGAUUUAGGUGACGGGACCAAACCAAGGCCGACUUUUAUUAGUGCAAAUUUAGAUCCAGAGUACAAGUGUAAAUUGACAAAUUUAUUAAGAGAAUUCAAGGAUUGUUUUGCGUGGGAGUAUCACGAGAUGCCCGGAUUAGAUCGAUCUAUUGUUGAACAUCGGCUACCCAUAAAACCAGGGUAUCGGCCGUACCAACAACCCGCACGGCGAUGCAAUCCUAAAAUCUUACCAGACAUAAAAGCCGAAAUAAUUCGGCUGAUUGAAGCAAAAUUUAUUCGGCAAUGUCGUUACGCCGAGUGGAUUUCAAAUAUCGUACCGGUGUAUAAGAAAAACGGGAAGCUGCGUGUUUGCGUUGAUUUCAGAAAUCUUAAUCAGGCCACACCGAUGGAUGGUUACCCCAUGCCUACGGCCGAUGUGCUGAUAGACGCCGCCGCGGGGCACAAAAUUAUUAGCUUCAUGGAUGGAAACGCCGGAUACAAUCAAAUACUUAUGGCCGAAGAGGACAUACCCAAAACGGCUUUCAGAUGUCCAGGCCAUCUUGGUCUAUUCGAGUGGGUGGUGAUGACUUUCGGUUUGAAGAAUGCUGGUGCUACGUAUCAGAGGGCCAUGAACUAUAUUUUCCACAAACUCAUCGGCCUCCUGGUGGAGAUCUACAUCGACGACGUUGUGGUCAAGUCCAAAAGCCACGAGGAACACCUAGCCGAUUUGCGAAGGGUCCUAGAGUGUACCAAAAAACAUGGUCUUAAGAUGAAUCCCAACAAAUGCGCUUUCGGCGUCUCCGCCGGACAGUUCUUAGGAUUCAUGGUGCACGAACGAGGCAUUGAAGUCAAUCAGAAGACCAUAGCGGCUAUCAACAAAGUCAUCGCCCCACAGAACAAAACUGAGUUACAAUCUCUAAUCGGCAAAGUAAACUUCAUCAGAAGAUUUAUAUCUAAUCUAUCUGGACGGAUCCAGGCGUUCACACCACUUCUGAAGUUGAAGCCAGACCAGGAAUUUAUUUGGGGAGAAGAACAGCGCAAGGCGUUAGAAGAUAUCAAGCAAUACUUGGUCUCGCCCCCAGUUCUGGUUCCCCCUCAAACGGGCAAGCCGUUUAAACUAUAUUUAUCAGCCGACGAAAAAGCUAUUGGGUCGGCUCUAGUCCAAGAGUUUGAAGGCAAAGAACGGGUGAUUUAUUACGUUAGUAGAAGACUCUUGGAUGCCGAAACAAGAUAUCCUCCAGUAGAGCGUUUGUGUUUGUGUCUUUACUUCUCGUGCACCAAACUCAGGCACUAUCUACUGUCGGCAGAAUGUAUAGUCGUAUGCAAAGAUGAUGUAGUAAAAUACAUGCUGUCACUGCCGAUAUUGAAAGGGCGAAUCGGUAAAUGGAUUUUAGCUUUAUCAGAAUUUGACCUACGGUACGAAUCGGCAAAAGCCGUCAAAGGUCAAGUCAUGGCCGAUUUCGUCGCACAGCACUGUGGGCCGGAGAUCGCCUUCGUGGAGCUAGCGCCUUGGCAGUUAUUUUUUGAUGGGUCAUCAUGCGGAGUCGGAUCGGGAAUCGGCAUCGUUCUCAUAUCGCCUCGGGGGGCAAGAUAUGAUUUUUCUCUGCCGAUAGAAACCGCCGCCACCAACAAUCAAGCGGAAUACAGAGCUGUAUUAAAAGGCUUACGAUUAUUGAGAGAAGUCAAGGCCGAUUCUGUCGAGGUCUUCGGAGAUUCGAUGCUAAUUGUGGAUCAACUAACCGGAAGAGCUGAAUGCAAAGAUGACAUAUUGCGAAUCCAUCACGAAGAUUGCUUACAGCUUUUGAAAGAAUUCAGAUCGGCAGUAAUUGAGCACGUCCCAAGAAACCACAACGAGGAAGCAAACAAACUCGCUCAACACGCAUCUGGGUAUCGGCCGAUUCCGGGCGCCAUGGCCUUAGAGCUUGCAGCCGACGAUUGGCGUAAGGAAAUUGCCGAUUACCUAAAAGAUCCGUCCAAAAAGGUGGAGCGACGUGUGCGCUUUCAUGCUACCAAGUACGUGUUGCUCGAAGAUGAUCUGUUCUACCGAACGAUCGAUGGUGUUCUUCUUAAAUGCCUUGGAACAGAAGAAGCCAAGACUCUGAUAGGAGAAAUCCAUGAAGGGGUAUGCGGAGCUCACCAAUCAGCACAUAAGAUGAAGUGGAUGAUCAGAAACAACGGGUACUAUUGGCCUACGAUCCUCGAAGAUUGUUUCAAAUAUUAUAAGGGUUGUCAGGAAUGUCAAAAGUUUGGAAAUGUCCAGCGUGCACCCGCAUCGGCCAUGAAUCCCAUCAUUAAACCAUGGCCGUUCAGAGGGUGGGGAAUAGACCUCAUCGGCCAAAUUUAUCCACCAUCGAGCAAGGGGCACAAGUUUAUUCUGGUUGCCACUGAUUAUUUCACCAAAUGGGUGGAGGCAAUCCCACUAAGGACUGUGACGUCGGCUAUCAUGGCCGAUUUCGUAAGGGAGCACAUCGUCUACCGAUUCGGUAUCCCUCAAACUAUAACAACCGAUCAAGGAACAAUGUUCACAUCGGGAGAAUUUGAGGAAUUUACGACCGAUAUGGGCAUCAAGUUGUUAAAUUCUUCUCCAUAUUACGCGCAAGCCAAUGGUCAAGCAGAAUCUUCCAACAAGGGACUAAUCAAGUUGAUCAAAAGGAAGAUUGAAGAAUACCCGAAGAAGUGGCACCUAUGUUUGACCGAAGCCCUGUGGGCAUACAGAAUGGCCUGUCAUGGGGCUACCAAGCUAUCUCCCUAUCAGUUGGUAUACGGCCACGAUGCAGUACUUCCAUGGGAGUCAAGGGCAGGAUCAAGGCGCAUUUUACUUCAAGACCAAUUGUCAGCCAAUGACUACUCAUCUCUGAUGAAGGAAGAACUUGAUGAUGUGGCCGGUCAGCGACUAAGGGCUCUGAUAAGUAUCGAAGAGAAUAAAAAGAGAGUGGCCAGGUGGUACGAUAAAAAGGUCAAAGUCAAGCAGUUCUCCCCCGGAGACUUGGUGUGGAAGUUGGUACUUCCGAUCGGGUCGAAAGAUCCUAAAUUCGGCAAAUGGUCUCCUACCUGGGAAGGGCCGUAUAAAAUCGGCAGAUGCGCUCCAGGGAACGCCUAUAUCUUAGAAACAAUAGAGGGAGAGGAAUUCACUAGAGCUCUGAAUGGGAGGUACUUAAAAAGAUAUUACCCAAGUAUAUGGGUCGGUGCCUAAGGAAUCAACGCAAUCAUACAUGACCGAUACUAUUCGGUUUUGAGAUAUACAUAAAGUCGACCGGAAUAGCCGAUUACAUGCAUUCGGUACGGGCGACGGGUCACAUGGCCGAUAAAAUGUUUAGUCACCCUUAGAACAAAAAAUACAGCAACUAAUUAUUCUUUUUCUUACGCUCCCUCUCAGCCCGACCUAACUCUAUCAUGAGUCGGAUGUAUUCUUCUUCUAUGGCCUUCAUUGAAAUCUCCGCUCCGACUUGACGGGGGAGAUCUACGGGAGGGCGCGAAGUCCCCGCUCCCGCAUCUUCAAGAACGACUUGUCGAGGGAGUGGAUGACUCCUGUCGAUGGGAGGUCGCCGGCUGCCGUUCCUCUCCACGAAGUCCAGGAUCUUUCGGGCCUCCGUGGCAAUGUCGUCUUCAAGAUCGCCACAACGAUCGCUCCUGACAGGUGGAGAUUGAUGGUUACUUUCACUCACUACGGAAUCCAAGACUACGCGAGCCUCCGUGGUGAUAUGGUCCCGGAGCUCCUCUCGGUGAGCCACGAUCAGCAUCUUGUCCUCCGACGUUAAUGGAUCUUCGGAAUGAAUGCACUCAAUGGCGCGCACGAGCUCGGGGCUAAGACGUUGGGGCUGGAACAAAGAAGGAAUGAGGAGGGGUAUUCUCUUCCUUAGGGUCUAAAAAAAAAAGGAAGGUAGAGGUCAAAAACUUCACCUGGUUAACAGAGGAAGAAGAAGACGAUGAGGCCAUAGCGAAGAAAUUGCACCAAUGAGAAGGGGCAGAAAAGUCGAACCGAGAGCCAAGAUUGAUGCUACCGGGAGUAAGCGCCGAGGUUGGUAUUUAUAAAAGAAUGCGUGGAAAUCUGGUAAAGCUACGUCCCAUCGGUAAUAAGAAGGCAAUAAAUAGAAAGGGCGUCGCGAGGGGCGGUCAAAGAGGAUAGUAAAUGAUUCGUACAAAACGGUCAGUGUUUUACAGAUUACCCAGAAGGGUAUCGAUAGCCGUGAUGGCCCGACGCCGGAUCUGAUCGGCAGAGUCAAGUACCCGUUGGUCUUCUUCCGCCGAUCCAGGAACCUCCGAUGCGCUGCGAUGGAGUCUCAGUGCCUCGUGAGCAAAGCGUUGCCUCUCCCGUGUCAAAUCGGCAAUCACAGAGGGUAGCUCUUGGAGUUUGUUCUCUUCGGCAUUGAUUGCUUUGAUCACUUGCUCCAUUUCCUUGGCAAGCUCCGCCCUCCGACGCUUGAGACGGUCUAUCUCACCUAUGAUCGCCGGGCGGGAAUCUUCUAGGACAUGGAUACGCCGAUUCGCCUCUUGAGCCUGACGCUUGAAAGCGUCUUCCUCUUCGCGAGCCUUGGUCAGCUUGGCGCGAUCGGCCAUGUGACGAAGGGCUCUGAAGACCGGGAUCCUCAUAGACUCGAUGAAGGCCGCCGGCGCCAGGGCCUCCUCCGCCUCUUCUGGUACUCGUCCGCUGACGUCAUUGAAGAGCUGCCGAAUCGGCGAAGCGUCUUCUACUAAUCGGCCGAUGUCCCCUUGAAGGAGGGACCGGAUGCUGGAAAGUUUGGCUCGGACGUCAUCAGGAACGGAACUCAAAGCGACUUGGCGAGAAGCAACUUCUUCGUCGUCAGAGAGGGCGACCGCAAAAGAAAAGAGGCUGUUGUCGGGGGUAUCCUGUUCCUAAAGAGAAUAAAGAAAAGAAAUAAACCAGCUGUAAGAAAGAGCAAAUCGGCUAAGAUAGAGGACGAAACAGAAAAAUACCAUUUUGAAGCGAAUUUCCUCAUGAUGCACUUGAGAAGCCGCCAUGCCUUGCUCGGGGGCCUGCGCCAUGGGUUCGUCAGAGGAAGAGGACUCCACGAUAAUUGGCGCAGUGUUUGGACCAGCCUCCUGACAAGAAAUCGGCAAUUGAGGAACGAUUGAUGUGCCGAUUGCCUGUGUCAGAAGUUUGGAUAAAUACGUUACGUGAGUGCCCGAAGAAAAUCAGCAUGAGAAGUUCUAUACCUUAACGGAAGGAAAUGGGGGCGCGUCAAUAGCUGGAGGGGCUGUUGCCGAUUGUGGUACUUCUGUAGGGAUGCUCUGUGCAGUUCAAGGUUAAAGAAAAGUUAAAUAUCAAAAUAAUAAUCGGAGGCAGCGCAACUCAGUUUUACCUGUAUGGCCUCCAACAACAACGAUGCGGCGGCCGCCCCAACUUGCGCCAUGGUUUGAGUAUCGACACUUUGGAUUAGAUGAGGAGGUGGUACGGCCGAAGUUUCUGCCGAUACGCUCACAGGAGGAUCCGCCGAUCCCGUACGAGCCCGGACUCGGCGACUGGUCUUCUUGGUGGUCCUUUUAUGAACUUGUUUCGAUCGGCCAGUAAUCACGUCAACAGACGGGGCGUUAUAGCCGAUAAGGGGAUAAGUAGUGUAUGGAUGACUCUCUAUCAGUCGUCCGCUGCGGCUGUGUGUUGGAGGGAUCCGAUUCUCGGCCUAAAAUAAUAAAAUCAUUAGUACUCGAUCGUGUUAAGAGGAAUAAAAGGGAAUAAAAAUCGGCUAUGUGAAGUACCCUCGGCGUUUGGGUCGAUGUUGGUCGGGUCCAGAAGAUUGCAGUAUGCCGAUGCUGAGUUGCAGAAGAGGAAUUGCUUCCAAUCAGCCCACCAGAGUUUGAACGGCUGGACAGCAAAUGGAGCUACUAGCCAGUCGUUCAAAUUAAUUGUACUGGAGUCUGGAAUUCGGUCUCGCAACCGACCGUAAUCUAGGCCAGAUGUGAGAUCAUCUCUAAACUUGAUUUUGCCAGCAAAGUACACCUGAAUCGGCAGCUGACCCAUGCCGAAUUGUCGUGCCGCAGCAGAAGGGUUGUAGAAUUCAUACGUAGGGGCAUCCUUCCCUGAGAAGAAGUUAGCCGGUAGGAUCCCCGGCUUGAUCAACCCUUCAUAGAGAUCUUCGUCAAACCGGCCAGAAGUUGAAUCGAAGCAGAAAGGGAGCUCGAAGAUGGGGAUGUCUCGCUGAUAUGGAAAUCAGAUAGUUGCGUCCUCAUUAAAUCCAUUAUAAAAACACCGAAAGUACUCGGCUACCUUUGUAGCGGAAUGUGCACAACCUGGAAAAGCUGAUGCUGCUUCGCCAUAAGACAUGCAUCGGCGGCGCUCGGUAGGGUCUUCUGCCGAUUCAAUAUUGGGAAAUGUCAUGCGGUCCACUGGCUGCCGAGUGAUCCUGUUCAUAUAAAGGUUCAACCAUAAAUUGACGAACCACCAAGGCCCACCUGGGUUGCCGAUUGGUUCUCCCUUGGAAAGUUUUGUGCCGAUUUGGUGGAGCAUAUGGUACACAGCACCCAGAAGAUGCUUCCCGAGAGGAAUGUGGUUUCCUUUGGACAGAGCCUCGGCUAAAGAUUGGGUGUUGGUUGUUGGGCCGGCGGCUCUUCCACAGAAGAAGUGUUUUUCGAGCCACAUCAUCAGGAAAGCGGUGUGCUCCCUGUUAUCAACAGUACCGGUCUUCUUAUUAUCAUUAAUAAAGCCCUUCCAGCCGCCGAUUCUUCUUGUGUCCAGCCGAUGCGAUGGUACGGUCAGAAGUUGGAAAGGCGUGUCAGGGGACGAUACAUCCAGGCCGGUCAAGAGGACCACAUCGGCCAGAGUGGGGGUCAUGGGACCGUGUCCAAAUAAGAAUGCAUUAAGUGCGUCAGACCAAAAAUAGGAAGCCGCCAUUACUAGCGGUUCGUUUUUCUCCAUUUGCGACAGGGAAAGGUUGAUACAUUGGCCGAUUUUGAGCUCAUCCCACGAGACGCUCUUUGACGCGGCUAUCCGUUGGUACCAUUCCCUCCAACCUGGGGUUUCAUUCGGCCAAGAUCUAAAAGUGCUGGCCCAUUGAUCUAAGUUCAUAUCAGAUCGUUUGAAAGGUAUCCGAUCAGUUUCCAAGUUUAUGAGGUCUGCUGGAUCCGGAUCUCCCAUGGGACCAAGGCAAACAAGGCCAGGACUACCCGUGAGAUGAAUAGUAAUUCUAUGUCUAACCGCCUAAAAAAGGAAAAGGGGCAUAAGAAUAUAAAGAGUAGAUCUAAGAUAAAUACGUUACCGAUAGAGGAAAGAUUCGGUAUUUACCUCCGGUAUAAAAUUCUGAGUAGUCGGUGUGGUCGCCGAUGCAGAUGCGGAUGGUAGAGUAGCAAUGGGGAUCGCCACUGGGAUUUCUGAUGAAACUCCUUCAUUUGCGGAUGGAGUUACGGUUGUCACCACCGUUGCCGAAGGCGCUACCUCCACCGGGGGCAUUGUCCCUGGAGCAUCGCGUGCUGGGGAAUUACCGGAAGGAGUCGCCAUUGAAGGGAAAGAGGGAGAAGUGAUUGGAGCUGAAACUGGAAGACUUCGAUGGCAAGAUUGGAGAAAGAAGGAGGUGCGCGCGCUGGAAAAGGAGAUGCGAGCUUGAAGAUGAGUUGCGGUGAAAUGGUAUUUAUAGGGUGCCUGAAGAAAGGGUAAAAAUGGAAUUUUCACCACGCCGGCGUAUCGAGUUUUUCGGGGUAGUGGCUGUCGUGGGCGCCCGUUUCAAAAAAUUGCAAUGAUCAGCCGGGAGACCGCGAAACGGAAGGAUAUUUUCACUGCGGCCGUUUCGGAGGAGAGGUUGUAAAGAAUUUCGAAGUAAAAGAUUAUAUUUUACUCCGAAACUGGGGGGCAUGUGUUGACGCCGGAUUUCGUCAUCAGUAGAAUCGGCACCAAAGAGGGAAAAAGGGGAGGAAGUACGGAUGGAAAUCGGCCAAAAGGUGCUACAGUACGGAAUCGGUCAGUAGCUUUUACUCCGCUUCCGGGUGAAUGCGCCAGGUUCCCAAUCGGCAAUCCUUUGCUGAUAAGAGAUCGACCGAUCGGGAAGGUGGACUAAGGUGGGCCUGUAUGGGCUUGGAAAAAUGGAGGGAUAAGGUGGAGUUCAGCCCACGAAGCGUGGGGUAGUUGGUUUAGCACGGAUUGUGCUGGUAGAUGUUUGUUUUCUGUUUGAAUUAGAGAUAGAGUUCUAGUCGGUUAAGAAGAUUAUGUGUACGGGGCUAUAAAUAGCUACCUUUGUAAAUCUGUA